UACGUAGGGUGCAGGCGUUAAUCGGAAUUACUGGGCGUAAAGCGUGCGCAGGCGGUUUGCUAAGACAGGUGUGAAAUCCCCGGGCUUAACCUGGGAACUGCACUUGAAACUACGAUGCUGGAGUAUGGCAGAGGGAGGUGGAAUUCCACGUGUAGCGGUGAAAUGCGUAGAGAUGUGGAGGAACACCGAUGGCGAAGGCAGCCUCCUGGGCCAAUACUGACGCUCAUGCACGAAAGCGUGGGGAGCAAACAGG
rnacentral:rRNA from 1 species